GAUAAAAACAUGUAUUAAUCAGUGCGUUUACAUGCAGAGUCAUUAAGUUCAGACAGACAUAUGGAAGUUUGUUGUUGUCAACUCAUGAGAAGAAACUUUUCUUGUUUUUGGCCUUGUAGCACAUUGUCCUCCAGACUGCAUAUCUGCACUCGUUUACAUUUUACUUUCUUACAUAUAUUCAUAGUUCAAGAUCUGGAGUUUUUUUAUAUUUCUUUUUUCACACAAAAGUCUUUUGGCACCAACUUGAGAGCAGCCUCACUCAUUAAUAAUGAAUAACAUUGAACUCUCUCUCUUUUCCAGGUGAUGACGAACAUCAGCUCUGACUCAGUUAAUCAGACUGUCUCUGUCUGUCCACUCAACACUAAUAAGCAGGAAGAGGAAGACAGAGAGGAAACACGAGAGAGCGACGAGGAAAACGCAGAACUGAAGUCAAACUGAAUUCACUUCCUAAUGAUUUGUAAGUCUAGUAAGUAAAAAGACAACAACACCAAACCUCUGAACUCCACUCAGACAGCGGGAACACAGAUUUCAUCAUGUAAACUGCAGACAGGAGCUCAGAAUUAGGUAGGGAAGGUAGGGACACGUCCCUGCCAACAUCCAGCCACUACUGAAUCCCUCGCAAUAACUCUGAUUAAAAUGCUGCAGUGUUUCCUGGCAGUCUGCAGGUAUUUCCACCUGUAAAAGUUUGGACUGCAGUGCGGCGUCUCUCCUCUGAGCGGCAGCUCUGUGUCUGUCUCUGCGUCCCCCUCGCUUAGAGACACCUUUGCUCUGUUUGGGACUGUCUCACUACUCCAGGAAGCUUCCCACUGAAGCGGCUGGGAGCUGCACUUUAUCGGAGCUGCUGAAGGAAACGUUUGUGUGGAUUUGUGGUGAGAUUUCUGCCUGAUCACAAGUGUUUGCAGCUAGUUUCGGUUUCCCACCUCCGAUGAAGAGCAGCGCAGAGCCGCUUCCCUAAGGGGGACAGAAGAACUUUUCCUGCUUCUUAUUUGAUUCUUCUUCUUAUUUCCUGCUCAGUAAAAACCAACAGACCUCUCAGCAGCCCUCAGGUGGCGGACAAGAGUUCAGAUCUGAUCAGAAAUAUCAGAGAUGUGUCGCAACAAUGAAUCGGGUUUGACGCGAAGAAGCUUCGCUCGGAAUCAGCGGCGCGUUUCUCUCAGCAGGACGGAGGCGACGCCCCGAACAUCCGCUGCCAAAGACCGCUACAUGGUCAACAUCACAAUACUGCGCAGCAGGUCUGUUAGAGACUGUAGUGAACCAGGAGGAGGCGGGCAUGAAAUGACUCCAC